rnacentral:rRNA from 1 species
AUUGAACGCUGGCGGCAUGCCUUACACAUGCAAGUCGAACGGCAGCACGGGUGCUUGCACCUGGUGGCGAGUGGCGAACGGGUGAGUAAUACAUCGGAACAUGUCCUGUAGUGGGGGAUAGCCCGGCGAAAGCCGGAUUAAUACCGCAUACGAUCUACGGAUGUAAGCGGGGGACCUUCGGGCCUCGCGCUAUAGGGUUGGCCGAUAGCUGAUUAGCUAGUUGGUGGGGUAAAGGCCUACCAAGGCGACGAUCAGUAGCUGGUCUGAGAGGACGACCAGCCACACUGGGACUGAGACACGGCCCAGACUCCUACGGGAGGCAGCAGUGGGGAAUUUUGGACAAUGGGCGAAAGCCUGAUCCAGCAAUGCCGCGUGUGUGAAGAAGGCCUUCGGGUUGUAAAGCACUUUUGUCCGGAAAGAAAUCCUUGGCUCUAAUACAGUCGGGGGAUGACGGUACCGGAAGAAUAAGCACCGGCUAACUACGUG